rnacentral:rRNA from 1 species
CACACCGCCCGUCGCUACUACCGAUUGAAUGAUUUAGUGAGGUCUUCGGACUGGUACGCGGUGGCGUUUCGACGUCGUCGAUGUUGCCGGGAAGAUGACCGAACUUGAUCAUUUAGAGGAAGUAAAAGUCGUAACAAGGUUUCCGUAUGUGAACCUGCGGAAGGAUCAUUAACGUUUGGUGGAG